CAAUAAACCUCAAAGCUGCAACUGCUUCACGCUCGCGGCAAUCCAUAAUCCAUCCUUGCAAAUUCUGAUUCCUUCCGCGCCAAAUCUUCGAUCUGCAGAAUAAGUUCAUCUGCCAGUGUGUCUUUUUGUUGGAAGAUAAGCGUUGAUCAAGAGAAAAAUGGGGGUAGAUGAUGUGCCUCUGGAUGACAAGGCGAAGAGAAUGAGAGAUCUGCUAUCAAGCUUCUACUCUCCAGAUCCUGCAAUGUCAUCCAGCAAUUCUUCGAAAUUCGCUUCCUUAGAUGCUAUCAACACCACUUCGUUCGACGCUGAUCAGUACAUGAAUCUCUUGGUGCAAAAAUCAAACUUGGAAGGGCUCUUGCAGAAGCAUGUUGAAAUGGCAGCCGAGAUAAAGAAUUUGGAUACUGAUUUGCAAAUGCUAGUGUAUGAAAAUUACAAUAAGUUCAUCAGUGCGACUGACACGAUCAAGAGGAUGAAAAAUAAUAUUGUGGGCAUGGAAGCAAAUAUGGAGCAGCUCCUUGAGAAAAUAAUGUCAGUGCAAUCAAGAAGUGAUGGUGUAAACACAUCUCUUUUUGAAAAGAGGGAACAUAUAGAGAAAUUGCAUCGCACACGCAACCUUCUUCGUAAAGUUCAGUUUAUAUAUGAUCUACCUGCUAGACUUGGGAAGUGUAUUAAAUCAGAAGCAUAUGCUGAUGCAGUCAGGUUCUAUACCGGAGCAAUGCCAAUUUUUAAGGCAUAUGGGGAUUCAUCAUUCCAGGACUGUAAGCGAGCAUCUGAAGAAGCUAUGGGCACAGUUAUAAAAAAUUUGCAGGGAAAGCUUUUCUCAGAUGCUGAAUCCAUACAAGCAAGGGCUGAGGCU
rnacentral:misc_RNA from 1 species